CCGUUUUAAAAAUGAUUUUAGGGGUUUUCAGAUUUUUUUAAAACUUUAAUUGGUAUCUAAUAGUUCGGGAAUUGUUUGUCCCCAAACGCAUGAAGUAUUGGCAAAUGUUCCAAAAUAAAACAUAAUGACACUUCAUAUAUUUUGUUUGAAUGAGUUGGAUUUGUUAUAUAAACAUGACCAACAAGUAUGUAUUUGUGAGGGUUUAAAUGGUGUUUUCAAAAUAGGAAAAAUCCAGAAUAGAGAAAAAUAACCGAGAAAAACGAGUAUAAAAGGAAAACCCUUUAAACAGACCUCAAACC
rnacentral:lncRNA from 1 species